CAGUCGCCGCGGGAAUACGUAGGUGGCAAGCGUUGUCCGGAAUUAUUGGGCGUAAAGGGCUCGCAGGCGGUUUCUUAAGUCUGAUGUGAAAGCCCCCGGCUCAACCGGGGAGGGUCAUUGGAAACUGGGAAACUUGAGUGCAGAAGAGGAGAGUGGAAUUCCACGUGUAGCGGUGAAAUGCGUAGAGAUGUGGAGGAACACCAGUGGCGAAGGCGACUCUCUGGUCUGUAACUGACGCUGAGGCUCGAAAGCGUGGGGAGCAAACAGGAUUAGAGACCCCGGUAGUCCCUGUCUCUUAUAA
rnacentral:rRNA from 1 species